UUUACCCUGCGGUGUUCGAGAUUACAGGUGUGAAUCCCGGACCGAUAUUGUUAGCAUAGGGGGCUAGGUCGUUAGGAGAAGAUGGCAUGCCUUCAUUGGAAGUCAGACGCUCCGACGACGGUCACCCGCCCGUUACCAGAAGGGAACGGGAAAUCCGCCUAAACGGCAUCAGUGGGGUAAUA
rnacentral:other from 1 species